rnacentral:rRNA from 1 species
AUGAACGCUAGCGACAGGCUUAACACAUGCAAGUCGAGGGGCAGCAUGAUUUGUAGCAAUACAGAUUGAUGGCGACCGGCGCACGGGUGAGUAACGCGUAUGCAACUUACCUAUCAGAGGGGGAUAGCCCGGCGAAAGUCGGAUUAAUACCCCAUAAAACAGGGGUCCCGCAUGGGAAUAUUUGUUAAAGAUUCAUCGCUGAUAGAUAGGCAUGCGUUCCAUUAGGCAGUUGGCGGGGUAACGGCCCACCAAACCGACGAUGGAUAGGGGUUCUGAGAGGAAGGUCCCCCACAUUGGUACUGAGACACGGACCAAACUCCUACGGGAGGCAGCAGUGAGGAAUAUUGGUCAAUGGCCGAGAGGCUGAACCAGCCAAGUCGCGUGAAGGAAGAAGGAUCUAUGGUUUGUAAACUUCUUUUAUAGGGGAAUAAAGUGGAGGACGUGUCCUUUUUUGUAUGUACCCUAUGAAUAAGCAUCGGCUAACUCCGUGCCAGCAGCCGCGGUAAUACGGAGGAUGCGAGCGUUAUCCGGAUUUAUUGGGUUUAAAGGGUGCGUAGGUGGUGAUUUAAGUCAGCGGUGAAAGUUUGUGGCUCAACCAUAAAAUUGCCGUUGAAACUGGGUUACUUGAGUGUGUUUGAGGUAGGCGGAAUGCGUGGUGUAGCGGUGAAAUGCAUAGAUAUCACGCAGAACUCCGAUUGCGAAGGCAGCUUACUAAACCAUAACUGACACUGAAGCACGAAAGCGUGGGGAUCAAACAGGAUUAGAUACCCUGGUAGUCCACGCAGUAAACGAUGAUUACUAGGAGUUUGCGAUACAAUGUAAGCUCUACAGCGAAAGCGUUAAGUAAUCCACCUGGGGAGUACGCCGGCAACGGUGAAACUCAAAGGAAUUGACGGGGGCCCGCACAAGCGGAGGAACAUGUGGUUUAAUUCGAUGAUACGCGAGGAACCUUACCCGGGCUUAAAUUGCAUUUGAAUAAUCUGGAAACAGGUUAGCCGCAAGGCAAAUGUGAAGGUGCUGCAUGGUUGUCGUCAGCUCGUGUCGUGAGAUGUUGGGUUAAGUCCCGCAACGAGCGCAACCCCUAUCCCCAGUAGCCAGCGGUUCGGCCGGGCACUCUGAGGAGACUGCCAGGGAUAACCUGGAGGAAGGCGGGGAUGACGUCAAAUCAUCAUGCCCCUUAUGAUUUGGGCUACACACGUGCUACAAUGGCGCAUACAAAGAGAAGCGACCUCGCGAGAGCAAGCGGACCUCAUAAAGUGCGUCGUAGUCCGGAUUGGAGUCUGCAACUCGACUCCAUGAAGUCGGAAUCGCUAGUAAUCGUGGAUCAGAAUGCCACGGUGAAUACGUUCCCGGGCCUUGUACACACCGCCCGUCAAGCCAUGGGAGCCGGGGGUACCUGAAGUCCGUAACCGCAAGGAUCGGCCUAGGGUAAAACUGGUGACUGGGGCU